rnacentral:rRNA from 1 species
UACGUAGGGUGCAAGCGGUGUCCGGAUGUACUGGGCGGAAAGAGCGCGCAGGCGGUCGUCCAAGUCGAGUGUGAAAGCCCCCGGCUCAACUGGGGAGGGUCACUCGAUACUGAUCGACUCGAAGGCAGGAGAGGGUAGUGGAAUUCCCGGUGUAGUGGUGAAAUGCGUAGAUAUCGGGAGGAACACCAGUGGCGAAGGCGACUACCUGGCCUGUUCUUGACGCUGAGGCGCGAAAGCUAGGGGAGCAAACGGG